UGUUCUCUUGGUCUUGGAUCCGCGGAGUGAUGGCAGAAUGUUCCAUUUAUUCUAUGGAUCUUUCCUUCCCGUCGUAUUUCUGCCACCAUGGCAUGAUCCAGAGCAGGGCGGUGUAACUGGGUGAUUCAACAUCACGGUUAUAGUGAUCGGAAGAGAACACGGAGGAUUUUGCAACAAGUAACAGAGACCAUGGUGGAGAGUGUUGGACCAAGCCUGGACCUGAGACAUUGAUUCCUCAGAGCUGUAAGACUUGUGACCAUCUGGACG